AAAUAUGGUUAAGGGUGGUGUAUUCAAAAUCAUCUUCAAAGACUAAGUUCAGAUUUAUACAUGUUUCACCAGUAUUCAGAGCAUCUGAAGCAGCUGUUUCUAGGACAACUUCUUCAGGAACGGAAAAAGCUUCUAUAACCUUUAAACCAGCCAUAACUUCAACAACCUGGACCUCAACGGGUUCCAAAAUCACCAACAUCAGCCUCUUAACCCUUAGAUGUAGAUGCUUCUUGAUGCUUCUCUAACUGAUCUAAGAUGACAAAUGCUAAAAGUUG
rnacentral:lncRNA from 1 species